GUUUCAGAAGCUAACUGACGUUGGCGAAGCUCUCCGCAACAUAAGGCAUCGAGAGAAGUGAUGUCAAGACGUCGUUGAAUUGACAGGUGCCACUGUAGCUUACCCACUGAAUUUCUGCCCACACCAUUAGUUAAUAAUCUUGGUCCUGGUUCAUGUUGUGCCAGCAUCACUUACACCACCCCCUAAAUUGGUGGCUAAAUUGGUGAACGAUGUGUGAAGGGAAGCCACAAUGUUGAGGACACACCAGCUAAUGACAGCAUACUGCAGGGAGUACACUUACAUGUAUCUUGUCAGAAAAUUGCAACACCCAUAAGGAGCAUAAAACUUAACAGGCCACAUGCUUCAACCAUAUAUGCACUCAUGCACACUGGCAGGUGCACUUAACACAAUCUUGUGAAAUCUAAAUUUGGAGGAUUCCUAAAACAGUAAGGAGAACUACAUGUAUAUGGUAGCUUCAAAUAGCUUCAGCUUUGUUUACAAAUACUGAAAUGUAAAAUUUUUCUUGACAUUCGGGAGGUAUUUCUUAGUGCUAUGUUGCAUAAAAAUCCCUGAUUACAAAUAUAUAGGAUUAAAAAAAAAAUUGACAAAUAACAUGGACACUUUAUCCCUGUCUCAAUUUCGUGGAAUGACACUCGUAGCACUGUUAAGCACUGAGUCAGAGGCAUCUCAAAUGAAUUGUAUAAUUACAGCAAUGUGAAAUAGUUUUGAGCUUAUUCACAAGUUAAUUCAUUUUUUUUUUAUUUAUUGCAAUUCGUGGUGCAAAAAUGAUUUCAAUUGACCAGCCAUUAAACAGCCCAGUAGGAUGCCUUGCUUGCUGCUUCUGCGUCUGUCUGUAUACAAUGCACUACUGGGCUAUUCUGAUAUAGUUUGGGUGGGGUUCAUGUGGCAGCAGCAAAAAUUAAAUUUUAAAGUAAGCAGGAUGUUGUGUUUUCGAAUCCUAGCCUGGCACACUGUGGAGUUUUUUCUCAGGGAAGCACUGUUGUGUUAAUAAAUGUUGCAGGAAAAAAAAUGACAAGCCUACUUUAUAUUGCAAUUUCCACAUUUAUUACAUGUUACAUGUACUUCCUUGAAAAUUGAAAUAGUUGAUUUAAAGAAUGAAGAUUUUAGGAGUGUUCUUUAAUCACUGAUAUUGAUGCCAGAGUCCAAAAGUCGAGUAUCAUGACGACUAGUACACAUUUCAAAUGUGUCACAUAAUUUUGUACAUGAGUACCUGCAGGAUUUUUAAGAACUCUGCUCUAUUCCACAUCUUUAGGGAGACCACUGUCGUCAGUUAUGCCACCUACAUGAAAGCCUUUCGUCAAUAUGGACAAAUUCAACCGAAAACGGCGUCAUACAGGAUGUUUUGAUGAAACCUCAAUUUUAUUUUACAAAUUGACAAAGUAGUGGAUAGUAUAAUGUGUAAUUUUCCAACAUUUGGCUGGAUAUACGACACGAGAGGCUGCCAUGACUCGGCGUUUAUCGUAAUUAGUUGUGGUACCAACUGUGUCUACUCCCACUCGUUGCUGGACUGCGUAAAAUCCUGCAGUAGGAUUACAAAGUUCUAUAAUUACGCAGUGACCGUCUAUCACAGUAAAAUGUUGAACGUUUAUUUAAUCUCAGAGUUUCGUUCAUCAUGUUCACUUUAUAAUUCUUUCAGUCUUUCUGCAGAUCCAACCUUUAAUUUUUUUUACUGUAUCAUUUCACUUUUACGAAGUUUGUUGUUAUAGGUAUAUAUACAUGGGUAGGUCUUUAUCAUUGUAUGGAUAUUCCAUUUUAUUUUAAUCUAUUUGCUCUUUUUUUUCCUCAAUGUUUUUGCUCAAAUCUCCUACCUUAUUUUACCAUUUCUGCAACUUGAAUUUAGCGGUGAUGUUAUCAUGUCUUUGGAAACUCUCAUUUUAAAAGGUGGUGCAUUCAUUGCUUACGACGUUUCAAGUUAGCGUGAGGAGUUUCGUCAAGUGUGCUCCAGUUCGAAUUGGAUACACUUGGUGCUUGCAGUGACCGCAAUGAUUUUGAAUUAUACAGAUCCCAAAUUAAGUAUGUCUUCUGCAAACACAAAGUUGCGACAUUUUCUGGUUUAUCCAGGGUCUGGGUCUCUCUUGGUGGCGCUACCAUAUGCACGUCGCCCAACGAGCUGUGUGGUGGGGGGAUGCUUCACCUCAGACCCUAAUAGUGCAUUUCAUCGAGCCUGCUCUCGGGUGGUUUGUCAGACCCAGUUCGACCGGGGUUGUUACAUAUUGCAGAGGCAGCAUACAGCGACCCCCGCCCCAUCAACGGCUGUACGUGCAACGUCUGAUGUUGGCUUGUUUAGUAUAGAAACAAUUCGACGACAAAGCGUAAAUGUGAAAGUAGGAUUAUACUUCAGUCAGGGAAAACUGACUUAAAUUAAAUUUUGUGAAACAAAAACUGAUUUCCCUAGAAAAUCAGAGACGCUGAAGUUUACAAACACAAUAAUAGCAGUAAUUAUGGACGUAGUGUAUAGCAUUUGAAUAGAAAGGGUUACUGUUUUUACUACUCUUAGGGUAUUAUAUCGGUUAUGGAAAUUUUAAUGACGGUGAAAAAUGUCCUGUUCUAACAUUUCGUAUCCAAGACAUUUGCCUAUAUUGAAGAACCUUAUACUAUUGCAUACACCAUUUUGAGGAGUGUUCUCCUAAGUUUAAUGUGUCACUGUGAGUGGCUAUAGGACUAACGCUUGGCAAACGCUAUAUAUAUUCGGUUUUGGCUGAGCUUUAAAUUGUAUAUAUUGCUCUCAACCGGUUGAAUGUGCAUAAAUCCUAUGAGUACUUCACUAUUUAAAGCGAGUGAAUUACCUCUUAAAUUUUGACAAGUUUGUGGGGUAAAAGUUGCUUAAUUGCGGUUAUCUGGUAGAUGCAAUACAUGUAUUUGUAAUAAUAACUUUCACGGCCUUUCUGGUUCCUGUGAUUGCAUUUUGGGAGCUUCUCCCUCCGUGUGUCAAGAAAUGGUUAUUGGAGGCACAGCGCCCUCAUUGCCCACGUCCGUAAAUGUGUAAAUACUCUGCUUUGAAUUUUCAAGUUCAUGCAUUUUACACUGGAACGGUAGUGUUGACUCUUUCAGAUGUGUGGUUGUUAUAAAGCAUGAUGUUGGAAUUAAACCUUUCUAAAGAAAAAAAUAUAUUUAAUGGAGUUAAGUCUUGA